rnacentral:rRNA from 1 species
AUUGAACGCUGGCGGCAGGCCUAACACAUGCAAGUCGAGCGGAUGAAGGGAGCUUGCUCCUGGAUUCAGCGGCGGACGGGUGAGUAAUGCCUAGGAAUCUGCCUGGUAGUGGGGGAUAACGUCCGGAAACGGGCGCUAAUACCGCAUACGUCCUGAGGGAGAAAGUGGGGGAUCUUCGGACCUCACGCUAUCAGAUGAGCCUAGGUCGGAUUAGCUAGUUGGUGGGGUAAAGGCCUACCAAGGCGACGAUCCGUAACUGGUCUGAGAGGAUGAUCAGUCACAUGGGAACUGGGACACGGUCCAGACUCCUACGGGAGGCAGCAGUGGGGAAUAUUGGACAAUGGGCGAAAGCCUGAUCCAGCCAUGCCGCGUGUGUGAAGAAGGUCUUCGGAUUGUAAAGCACUUUAAGUUGGGAGGAAGGGCAGUAAGUUAAUACCUUGCUGUUUUGACGUUACCAACAGAAUAAGCACCGGCUAACUUCGUG